rnacentral:rRNA from 1 species
UACGGGGGGGGGGCAAGCGUUGUUCGGAAUUACUGGGCGUAAAGGGCUCGUAGGUGGCCAACUAAGUCAGACGUGAAAUCCCUCGGCUUAACCGGGGAACUGCGUCUGAUACUGGAUGGCUAGAGAUUGGGAGAGGGAUGCGGAAUUCCAGGUGUAGCGGUGAAAUGCGUAGAUAUCUGGAGGAACACCGGUGGCGAAGGCGGCAUCCUGGACCAACACUGACGCUGAGGAGCGAAAGCCAGGGGAGCAAACGGG